rnacentral:rRNA from 1 species
ACGGCUCAUUACACCAGGCACAAUUUACUGGACCUUGACAAACCUACUUGGAUAACUGUGGUAAUUCUAGAGCUAAUACAUGCACCAAAGCUCCGAUCCCUCGCGGAGAGGAGCGCAUUUGUUCGCCACAAAACCAAGCGGCUUCCAAGCCGUUCAGUGUUGACUCAGAAUAACUAGCUGAUCGCACGGUCUUGCACGGCGACGUGUCUUUCAAGUGUCUGCCUUAUCAACUUUCGAUGGUAGUAUACAGGACUACCAUGGUUGUGACGGGUAACGGAGGAUAAGGGUUCGACUCCGGAGAAGGGGCCUGAGAAAUGGCCACUACGUCUAAGGAUGGCAGCAGGCGCGCAAAUUACCCACUCUCAACAUGAGGAGGUAGUGACGAGAAAUAACGAGACCGUUCUCUUCAGAGGCCGGUCAUCGGAAUGGGUACAACUUAAACCCUUUAACGAGUAUCUAUGAGAGGGCAAGUCUGGUGCCAGCAGCCGCGGUAAUUCCAGCUCUCAAAAUGCAUAGAAUUAUUGCUGCGGUUAAAAAGCUCGUAGUUGGAUCUGUGCUGGCCGCCCGGUCUGUCCACUGGGCAUGCACUGGUGCGGCCGGCUUUCCUGCCUGGUUCCUCCCCGGCGUUGGCCUUCACCGGUCGGCGUCGGUGGCCGGGCGAGUUUACUUUGAACAAAUCAGAGUGCUUCAAACAGGCGUUUCGCUUGAAUGUUCGUGCAUGGAAUAAUAGAAGAGGAUUUCGGUCCGAUUUUAUUGGUUUUGCUGACCGAGAUAAUGGUUAACAGAGACAAACGGGGCCAUUCGUAUUGCUGCGUGAGAGGUGAAAUUCUUGGACCGUAGCAAGACGGACUACAGCGAAAGCAUUUGGCAAGAAUGUCUUCAUUAAUCAAGAACGAAAGUCAGAGGUUCGAAGGCGAUCAGAUACCGCCCUAGUUCUGACCGUAAACGAUGCCAACUAGCGAUCCGCCGGCGGAUUCUUUCGCCCUGGUGGGGAGCUUCCCGGAAACGAAAGUCUUCCGGUUCCGGGGGAAGUAUGGUUGCAAAGCUGAAACUUAAAGGAAUUGACGGAAGGGCACCACCAGGAGUGGAGCCUGCGGCUUAAUUUGACUCAACACGGGAAAACUCACCCGGCCCGGACACCGUAAGGAUUGACAGAUUGAUAGCUUUUUCAUGAUUCGGUGGAUGGUGGUGCAUGGCCGUUCUUAGUUA